CGCUUUUGUGGGGUGCUCGAGUGGCGAACGGGUGAGUAACACGUGAGUAACCUGCCCUUGACUUUGGGAUAACUUCAGGAAACUGGGGCUAAUACCGGAUAGGAGCUCCUGCUGCAUGGUGGGGGUUGGAAAGUUUCGGCGGUUGGGGAUGGACUCGCGGCUUAUCAGCUUGUUGGUGGGGUAGUGGCUUACCAAGGCUUUGACGGGUAGCCGGCCUGAGAGGGUGACCGGCCACAUUGGGACUGAGAAACGGUCCAA
rnacentral:rRNA from 1 species